AGCGAACGCUGGCGGCAGGCCUAACACGUGCAAGUCGAACGAACCUUUCGGGGUUAGUGGCGGACGGGUGAGUAACACGUGGGAACGUGCCUUUAGGUUCGGAAUAACUCAGGGAAACUUGUGCUAAUACCGAAUGUGCCCUUCGGGGGAAAGAUUUAUCGCCUUUAGAGCGGCCCGCGUCUGAUUAGCUAGUUGGUUGAGGUAAUGGCUCACCAAGGCGACGAUCAGUAGCUGGUCUGAGAGGAUGAUCAGCCACAUUGGGACUGAGACACGGCCCAAACUCCUACGGGAGGCAGCAGUGGGGAAUCUUGCGCAAUGGGCGAAAGCCUGACGAAGCCAUGCCGCGGGAAUGAUGAAGGUCUUAGGAUUGUAAAAUUCUUUCACCGGGGACGAUAAUGACGGUACCCGGAGAAGAAGCCCCGGCUAACUUCGUG
rnacentral:rRNA from 1 species